UACAGAGGUCCCAAGCGUUUGUUCGGAUUCAUUGGGCGUAAAGGGUGCGUAGGCGGCGCGGUAAGUCGGGUGUGAAAUCUCGGAGCUUAACUCCGAAACUGCAUUCGAUACUGCGGUGCUUGAGGACUGGAGAGGAGACUGGAAUUCAUGGUGUAGCAGUGAAAUGCGUAGAGAUCAUGAGGAAGACCAGUGGCGAAGGCGGGUCUCUGGACAGUUCCUGACACUGAGACACGAAGGCCAGGGGGAGCAAAACGGGG
rnacentral:rRNA from 1 species